rnacentral:rRNA from 1 species
UACGUAGGGACCAAGCGUUGUUCGGAUUUACUGGGCGUAAAGGGCGCGUAGGCGGUCAGCACAAGUCAAUUGUGAAAUCUCCGAGCUUAACUCGGAAAGGUCAACUGAAACUGUGCGACUAGAGUGCGGAAGGGGCAACUGGAAUUCUUGGUGUAGCGGUGAAAUGCGUAGAUAUCAAGAGGAACACCUGCGGCGAAGGCGGGUUGCUGGGCCGACACUGACGCUGAAGCGCGAAAGCCAGGGGAGCGAACGGG